rnacentral:rRNA from 1 species
UACGUAGGGUCCGAGCGUUGUCCGGAAUUAUUGGGCGUAAAGAGCGUGUAGGCGGCCAGGUAGGUCUGCUGUGAAAACUCGAGGCUCAACCUCGAGACGUCGGCGGAAACCAUCUGGCUAGAGUCCGGAAGAGGAGAGUGGAAUUCCUGGUGUAGCGGUGAAAUGCGCAGAUAUCAGGAGGAACACCGAUGGCGAAGGCAGGUCUCUGGGCCACUACUGACGCUGAGAAGCGAAAGCAUGGGGAGCGAACAGG